rnacentral:rRNA from 1 species
GAUUAGUGGCGAACGGGUGAGUAACACGUGGGCAAUCUGCCCUGCACUCUGGGACAAGCCCUGGAAACGGGGUCUAAUACCGGAUAUGAGGGCCAUGGGCAUCCAUGGUUCUGUAAAGCUCCGGCGGUGCAGGAUGAGCCCGCGGCCUAUCAGCUUGUUGGUGAGGUAACGGCUCACCAAGGCGACGACGGGUAGCCGGCCUGAGAGGGCGACCGGCCACACUGGGACUGAGACACGGCCCAGACUCCUACGGGAGGCAGCAGUGGGGAAUAUUGCACAAUGGGCGAAAGCCUGAUGCAGCGACGCCGCGUGAGGGAUGACGGCCUUCGGGUUGUAAACCUCUUUCAGCAGGGAAGAAGCGAAAGUGACGGUACCUGCAGAAGAAGCGCCGGCUAACUACGUGCCAGCAGCCGCGGUAAUACGUAGGGCGCAAGCGUUGUCCGGAAUUAUUGGGCGUAAAGAGCUCGUAGGCGGCUUGUCACGUCGGAUGUGAAAGCCCGGGGCUUAACCCCGGGUCUGCAUUCGAUACGGGCAGGCUAGAGUUCGGUAGGGGAGAUCGGAAUUCCUGGUGUAGCGGUGAAAUGCGCAGAUAUCAGGAGGAACACCGGUGGCGAAGGCGGAUCUCUGGGCCGAUACUGACGCUGAGGAGCGAAAGCGUGGGGAGCGAACAGGAUUAGAUACCCUGGUAGUCCACGCCGUAAACGGUGGGCACUAGGUGUGGGCGACAUUCCACGUCGUCCGUGCCGCAGCUAACGCAUUAAGUGCCCCGCCUGGGGAGUACGGCCGCAACGCUAAAACUCAAGGAAUUGACGGG